GACGAACGCUGGCGGCGUGCUUAACACAUGCAAGUCGAACGAAGAGCGAUGGAAGCUUGCUUCUAUCAAUCUUAGUGGCGAACGGGUGAGUAACGCGUAAUCAACCUGCCCUUCAGAGGGGGACAACAGUUGGAAACGACUGCUAAUACCGCAUACGAUCUAAUCUCGGCAUCGAGGAUAGAUGAAAGGUGGCCUCUACAUGUAAGCUAUCACUGAAGGAGGGGAUUGCGUCUGAUUAGCUAGUUGGAGGGGUAACGGCCCACCAAGGCGAUGAUCAGUAGCCGGUCUGAGAGGAUGAACGGCCACAUUGGGACUGGGACACGGCCCAGACUCCUACGGGAGGCAGCAGUGGGGAAUCUUCCGCAAUGGACGAAAGUCUGACGGGGCAACGCCGCGUGAGUGGUGACGGCCUUCGGGUUGUAAAGCUCUGUUAAUCGGGACGAAAGGCCUUCUUGCGAAUAGUGAGAAGGAUUGACGGUACCGGAAUAGAAAGCCACGGCUAACUACGUG
rnacentral:rRNA from 1 species